UACAGAGGUCUCAAGCGUUGUUCGGAUUCAUUGGGCGUAAAGGGUGCGUAGGUGGCGCGCUAAGUCAGGUGUGAAAUUUCGGAGCUUAACUCCGAAACUGCAUUUGAUACUGGCGUGCUUGAGGACUGGAGAGGAGACUGGAAUUCAUGGUGUAGCAGUGAAAUGCGUAGAGAUCAUGAGGAAGACCAGUGGCGAAGGCGGGUCUCUGGACGGUUCCUGACACUGAGGCACGAAGGCCAGGGGAGCAAACGGG
rnacentral:rRNA from 1 species